GGGGAUAUGGCGGAAUGGUAGACGCAGCGGACUCAAAAUCCGUUGGUUUCGACCGUGAGGGUUCGAAUCCCUCUAUCCCCA
rnacentral:tRNA from 2 species